GAUUGAAACUUCCAAAGGCGACGUUACUCGAGCAACAUACUUCCCUGGACUUCCCACGUUCUUCACCUUUCGAUUCAUCGUCACAGGGCCUGUUUUCAAAUCCGCGACUGAGAUGGAUGGAUAAUUGAGCCUCGAGCGCACAAGAAAUUUAGGUAAUCGUCCAUUGUAAUGUCGUAAACGAGGCCAGGGUCCAUGGCGCUGUUUGGAUGAACAUGUCCUGCGCCGUAUGCUAAUGGAGUUGCUAUCACUCCGUCGAGGUCGACAAUUGGAUGGUUUUGAGAAGGCCUACAAUGCCAGAAACAUGGGGGCAAGACAUGGAUGUGCCAGAGUAUACCAUAAAAGGAACUCGACGAUCAUCAACGGGCAGAUUUGCCAAUGGUAUUCCAUCAGGGUAAGCCGCAAUUAUAUUCACACCUGGUGCUGUUAUAUCUGGCUGAUCUCAAACAUAACAUAACUUGUUAGUAUAAAUGAUCUUCCUUAUCGUUACUACAUUAGCAUGCAUUUGAAUUGAAACGUUUUAAAGCUUGAGAAAAAGAAACCUUGAGGAUUGACUCCUCGAUUAUACUUGGGCCUCUCCCUGAGAACCUAGCCAUGGUUGGGGCUGGCGUGACACCGAGCUUUGCCGUUACCGAACUGAUGUAAGCCAUGGGUGUCCUGAUCAAGUAUAUGUUAAUAUGCAGGGGAAAUAACAAUCUUUGGAAGAGAAAAAAAAAGGAAACAUAGGGAGUUACCUUGUAGAGCUCAUAUAUUGAGAGAUGGUUAUACUGUCAUUAUAGGUUACAUGGGAUGCUGGAAUGAUGUGUGGAUCAGCUUUAAUCUCAUUCCCACUUUCUUCAUCGUUAACCAAGAUCAUCCCAACCGCCCCUGCUUGAGCUGCCAAGUAACCUUUGGUCACUCUUGCAAUAACCCCAACAACGCACACCACAAUCUUCCCAUUCAAUUUGGUGGGAUCAAGUGUUCCCUCAUCACACACUUCCCUGUUAAGAAUUCAAUAUAAGUGUGAUGUUCCAUAACGGUUGAAGAGGAGAACGAAAUACCCUAUAUCAGGGUGUGGAAACCU